CCUCCCCCUCCCCCUCUCAGGCUCCAGUCUUGCAGAUUGCGGGCUGACUUAACUCCUUGCACUCCAGCUCGGUGGAGUCUGAGGUGGUGACGCUGCGAAGGAAAGAAGGAGGGAAGGAGGGACUCCAGAUCCCACUCCCACCCACAAUUUAACGCCUUGUGGCCCGGAACGCCAUCCCGGAACUUGUGCUGGUCAGACCCUGACCGGCUGUCUGGUACAGGAGGAGCCACACGCAAAGCCGCGCACCUGGAACUGUGAAAUCCAGUCCACUUUUUGCCCAAUCUUAACCGUCUACCCUCCCCGCUCCCAUCUUCUAUGUCGGUCCUCCACUCUCUGGCCACCCUCCCCGCCUUCACCCACUAGUUGGGGCCGGGGGCCCCUGGCGGAUAGAAAGCUGCUGGGAUCCCGGAAGUCUGGGUUUGGAAGCUACCUGAGCUUUCUCCUCUAUAUCCCUCCUCUAAGGCCCCCUCUCAGGUGACCACAGCCCUUGCCUCUUUCACUGACAGAGGGGCUUGCACCCCAACUGAAUGUUUACCUUCCCCAGCUCCAGCUAGCACAAGGAACUGAGUUCCUGGAAAAUCUGACUUCACCUCUACCUAGACCCCCUCCUCUGUUAGAUUUGUCCCCCAAGUUCUGCUACGAAUGAUUCUGCCCGAGAGGUACUGCAGACUAGGCAGGAAGGAGUUAAUGAAGCUCCUGGGCUCAACUUGACAGCCAGGUGAGGCACCGCCCUUCUUGGCCUCAGGUGCGAGUGGGUGGGGAAGACGGGGGACACUGACCUUAAGGGCUGCUUUCCUUUUGCCCCCUGGUGGCUAGAUCAGGCUUAGCAACCGUUGGCAAAAGUCUGUUCACGUGGAGGUUCGCGGAAGGACGACUUUGUGAACUGCUAGAAGCUAAAGUCCUCCUCUUCCAAGGGAGAGAGAUCCUUCUAGGGGGUGCGGAGAGGGAGCUCCCACUAUCCCUGCCUAUCGUGCUGUCCCCACUCAGAAGGCUGCCAGACGCUUCCAUAUCCUUAUCCUAGGAACUCUACUUACGGGACCCAAGUAUUCGAGACACCUGAAGGAGGGCAUGGAAUAAAACAGAAGACACCAAGUCCUGACCUCUCAGGAUCUCCAUAUAAUAGAGGGGGUUAGAGGAGGAAGCUGCCCCCCCCCAACACACACACACCUUCUUUCCUUUUUUGCCCCAGGCCGUUUCAGAGCUCUUACUCCCUCUAAAUCCCAGCAUCAGAUACAACCCUCAGGCCAGGUCCAAAGCUCCUACCAGCUCCUACCUUGUUCCUUAAGUUUCCCUCCUAAGUGAAGCCAUCUUCUGGAUCUCGCCCCAUAAAAAGACUCUCCUUGCUGGAGCCUAGGAGCUCACAGCCACUUCCUCUUAUUCCCAGCAUGGCUGCAUCUCUUCCCAUCUAAAAGCCCUCUCAGGUUAGCAAAGCCAAGGAUUUGAAGGGUUCCCUUUCUCCUCCCACUCCCAUCUUCAAUUGCCUCACUUCUCAUUUUCUUUCUUUCUUUUUUUUUUGGUAUUGGGGAUUGAACUCAGGCACUUGGCCACUGAACCACAUCCCCAGCCCUAUUUUGUAUUUUAUUUAGAGACAGGGUCUCACUGAGUUGCUUAUACCUCACUUUUCCUGACACUGGCUUUGAACUUCCAAUCCUCCUGCCUCAGCCUCCCAAGAUGCUGGGAUUACAGGCACACCUGGCUUCUCUUCUCAUUUUCUAUUGUCUUCUAAGAUUUACGGUACCUGCAUAGGCAGUUCACCCAAUGGGAGACAAUUCUGUCAUUUUGUACAUUGUGAUAUUUAACUUAUUUAUUUGCCUUUUCUUCCAGGAACUCCUUUCUGAUGGAGGACUCUGCCUACUUAUUCAUUCAACAAAUACCUAUUGAGAUCUACUAUGUGCCAGUCACUGGACUAGAACUAGACAUAUGUUAGUGACAAAACAGAUAAGGUCCUUACUCUUAUACAGCUGACAGCCUAGCUGGGGACAGACAGGUAAAGAGAGGAUUUCAAUUCAGUGUAACUAGGGCUUAGGGAGCACUUAGGAAAGACCUUACCCGUGUUUUGGGUAACUGCAAUAUGGAUCACCAUCUGAACUGAGACUUCAUACAAGCCUCAGGUGUGGUUCAAUCCAGGCAGACAGAACAUAUCUUACUGGAGUUCCAAAGAUAGACAGGAUUGCAGCAAGAGGUCUAGACCAGAUGUCAUAAGAGAUCACUAAAGGCUUAAUUUCCAUAAAAUCCCUUGGUAAUAAAUUCUCCAAGUCCCCAAAGAAAGAAGAUGGGCCUCAGAGUCCAGAGUAUGUGAUAUUGGCCUAGUCAGUCCCACUCUCUGGGCCUUACUUCAUUCUUCUUGUUCUUUUUUAACCUACCUCUCAGGCAAGAUCUUGGUUUUCUUCAAAUAUUAAAAAGAAAGAAAGAUGGGUUGAAUUUAGCUCCAAGAUCUUUAUUCUGAAGACCGCAAUUAGAUAGCAGGCUUGUUGAGAGGGAUAAACACUUAGCUUUGACCAGCAUGGGGAGGGGGCAGAGUUCUUAAACCCAGAAGCAGGUGCUUGCCUAGUGUGUGCAGGGUCCUGGGUUUGAUCCCCAGCACCACAAAAUAAAUAAGCAUAAAACUAGGAGAAGUUAUCAGAGGCAGGAUCCUCAAAAGAAGUCCAAACCAGUCAAGCCUACUCUUUGCCUGCUGCCCAUUGGUCUGGAAGUUCUAAGUCCUGGGAACAUAAUUCUUGCCAUUUAAUUCUUGUGUUAAAGGCAAGAGUCUUUCUGAGAUACUUCUGGGAGCAGAGUGCUUUGGGGGGCAGUGCUUACAUUACUUUUCUCUUAUAUGUAGCACUACAGAACUGAUAUUUUUAAGAGGUGACAGGCUUACACACAGGUGAAAGUCUUACACACUGGUGAAAGGACUUGCCUGAGAUCACGUGGUGGAUGAGUGAUAGCUGGAAGUCUAAUUCCACAUCCAGACUCUUUCCACGACACCACCAUAGCACUUGUUUCCAACUUUCCAUUGGACUUGUUCCUGUGUCUGGCUCAUUUCCCUGUGAGGCCAUAAGAUCUGGGAAGGCAGGCUUGGCCUCCUUAUCUGGACCCCCCAGAGCCUGGACGUGGUGCUCAGAACUGCUAGUCUCCCAGGUACCCCUUUUUUCUCCAAGCCUAACCCUAUUGACAUGCAUAUAGACCCCUGGGUCAUUUUAAAAAGGCAUCCCUGGAUUAUGGACAAAGCCCUGGGCCAGGCAUAGUCAAAGUACCAGUCAGACCUAAAACCUGGUCUGUGACUUGAAGUAAACUGAUUAACACUGAUUAACUUCCCUAGCCUUCAAGUUCUGUUGAGACCCAUAACCUAACUCCUAGGCCUUUUGUAACUUGAAAUCCAAGCUUGGGAAGUGUUUUUAAAAAACAUAGCUCAGAGGGGCUGGGGAUGUGGCUCAAGCGGUAGCACGCUCGCCUAGCAUGUGUGCAGCCCGGGUUCGAUCCUCAGCACCACAUACAAAUAAAGAUGUUGUGUCCGCCAAAAACUA
rnacentral:lncRNA from 1 species